rnacentral:lncRNA from 1 species
AUUGUGGAAGUGGGGAUCGAUUGGCCGAGCCCGGACCCCAUAAUAAAUAUUUUCAAAUGCUUUGGCUUUCCACUCGAACCCAGGUCUUCCAGAGUCGAAAGCCGAAGCGUUUCCAAGCAGCCAAUCCGGCCACCUACCGCCAUGUUAUUCAUAGCUAUUUCUUGUUUACAAUCAGGACUGGCCAAAAAAGCAGGCCCUGGUGCAAAGUUGUCAUGCGAGACCUUUUAAUAAUAAUAAUAAACAGUUUCGAAGCUUUGGUUUCGAACAAGAGUUGGAUCAAUAAUAAUAAAAAUUAAUAAUUAAUAAUAAAAU